rnacentral:lncRNA from 1 species
GCUUCUUUAAUGAAAAGACCCACUAUUUGACUGUUUUUUUUUCCAAAAGCACUUUUACAAAAAAGUUUACCAAACACUCUGCUGAUUUAUUUCACAGCCGCUUAUUCUCAAAACACAGCCGCUUAUUUUCACAGUAGCUUUUUUUCAAAGCACAGCAAUACCAAACCAGCCCUUAGUGUCACUACACGAAUGAGACGAGACUUUCCAUCCUUCCAAUUGAAGGGGACAUAGUAUGUACUGGUCUUUGCAUUGUCAGCAUCCCUUUGACAAUCAUAUGACCAGGAACCUUUUUGGACAUGAUGGUUAUGUGAAGAAGGUCUCUGUAGUCUAACAUCAUUAGAUUACUUCUUCCAUCGAUCCAUUGUCCAUGGAUUCACUAUUUAGGACAUAUAUCGUUUAUUGAGAUAGUCCUAAUUAGUAUCUUUGCCUUUUGAUGUAUAAGAGUCAGCUAUACACCCAUUCAUUGUCCUGAAAGGUUUCUUCCAAAGAUUGACUUUCAGGGCAUAUUUCCAACAAUCUCCCACUUGCACUAAAGUCAAUCACUAGUGUAUCUUAUACAUACUAGUCGAGUGAACUUAUGAUCAUAGGUAAACUUGGUUAUGUAUUAAUCCUUUUAAUUUAUAAAAGGGAUUUACUUAUCAAAUGUUUCUAAAACAUUUGAUGAUGUCUCUUUCUUGUGUUCAAAUACUUUGAUGAGACCUUGAUUCCAUGGCUUGAGCUAUCGCCCCAUUACGUCGUAGUGUCCAACUAACGACCUUAUGGUUUGGAUUCAAUCAUUGGUUCUAUAAGAACCUCUUCUAUUCAAAACACCUUUUGAAGCAGUUUCUAAAACAAUAUAUCGCCAUAUGUUCCGUUUGUAUACUUUAUACAUACUUUGCUCCAACCUUGAGACCAUUGUAGUACAAUACUAACAAUACAUUCAUAUGAUUAGUACUUCAUCCAUUAUGAAGUUCCAUUUGUUAAAAUGGGCUAUUUUUCACUUUGGUUAAUAACCUAAGUAAAUGCACGCUUCCAGAGUCCUACUCUAAUGUCCCUUUCUUAAAGGCAAUAAUACUCUAUCAGUUGCUAUGGUUCUGAUCCUGGGCUAUAGUAAUAUCUUAAAGAGAUAACCCCUAUGGUUUUUCACCUUUGGAUAUCAUAUCACAAGUCCAUACAUGUGUCCCUUUUGUGAUUUUAUGACACAUUCAUUAUAAGGGUUAUGAAAGUGAUUUUCUAUCAUAUAGGAAAACACCUUCUCAAAUCUUCAACAUUUGAGAUUUAAUUUCCCAUUAAACAUUCUUGAGAUAGCCUUGUUAUAUCAUUAAGUCCAAUUUCAAGUCUAUACUUCAAAAUUGACCGUGUCACAAUUUUGUCAUUUUGAGUAACAUCUAUGUUUUAUCAAGUCUAUCAAAUAGACUUUAUUCAUAUCUUGUUGCUUAACUUAUGACAUCACUCCCACUGGCCUUGUUGUAACUUAGCAUUCAUUAAAAAAAACUUAACACUUACAUUUUCUUGAUUUGAAUGCAUAUUGCUCCCACUAACUUGUCUUGGAUCUAUUGACAAUCAUUAAGAUCCAUUAGCUUAUUGAUGAUGUCUCAACAAUUUUGGGACUAUCAACAACGCUAGCUAACACAAGUUAUUUAAACGAACAUACACAAAAGAAUUCAUUCUCAAGUUAUUCCAUUUGAAAUGUGACUUGCUUUAUCAAGUCUAUUCAUUUAAAUCAUAUGGUGUCAUACACCAUACUCCAAGUUUUAGUCAUACUAAGACCUUUAAUGUAGUCAUAUAAGAAUUAUCCAAGUCUUUAGUGGAAGCAUGGCUCCUACUAAGGAUAUAGAAACUCAACCAUUCCUUCUAGGUGAUUGAUAUAAUUCUUUAUCAAAACUACAUAGAGCGUUAUAGUUACAUGAGAUGUUGAAUUUGGAUUGUCUUGUUGUUAAACCAUAUGUUGUGACUCAUUUUAAAAAACUAUUCCCUUUUGUUUCAUCAAAUUUGUCCAUACGCUUUGUUAUUAGCUUGUUCUCAUAAAAGAGAAUGAUGGACAAACUCCCAACAUAUAACCAUUUUAUGUUAGGUUGACGAAACCAACAUUCAAAGACUAUUCUUUAGAAUGUUACACAACAUAGAAUUUUAACUUUUGAAGAGCUUGAGUCCUUUAACAAUUAAAAUUACAAACUCUUAAUAAUAGUCAAGUACUAUUAUUCUUUAGACAACUAUAAACCAAUCAUAUUCAAGUUUAUAUCCUUUUUCACACCUCCCACUAUUUCUCAUGACUUUAAUGAGAAAUCACUUCAUACAUUCAAAAUGUAUAAACGUGGAGUAUACGGGUAGAGGACAUUGUGUAGUAGCUUUAAAACAUUUCAAGCUCGUUUGUUUCAAUCUUCACUAAGUUAAUGUCUCGUUAUUAAGUGACUAAAGUCUUUAAACAUUUUAUAGAUUUAGACACUUCUUUCUUGGUUUAAUCACUAACACAAUUGACAUUUUAAAACCAAUUUUAAGAAUGCCUAAUUAGUUGUUCAAAACUACUAAUUGAAUCAAGAGUGAUCUUGAUUAUUGUGGUUUAAGUGAUAACCAUAUAAGAAACGUUUUUCUUAUUACUUAUAUCAUUAUAAUGUGAUCUUCCUUUUCUUCAAGAAAGGAAUUUCUAGACCUUUGUCAAUUCAUAUAGAACUCAUAGGUAGACAAUUGGAACCAAAUCUAAAGAUUCAUUGUAUCCUUCUAUGUCCAACACGUGAGAUCUAUCCAUAAUUGAUAAGUCUAAAGUUUGGUUAUCACAUUACAAUAACUAAUAUAAUUCUUGUAUCUCUACUAGGAUACUACAAGACAAUAUUCAAUUCAUAACACUACUUUAAGGAAAUAAUAUAUUAGAAGGCAUUCAUCA